UACGUAGGGACCAAGCGUUGUUCGGAUUUACUGGGCGUAAAGGGCGCGUAGGCGGCCUUCUAAGUCGAACGUGAAAUCCCCGGGCUCAACCCGGGAACUGCGUCCGAUACUGGAAGGCUUGAAUCCGGGAGAGGGAUGCGGAAUUCCUGGUGUAGCGGUGAAAUGCGCAGAUAUCAGGAGGAACACCGGUGGCGAAGGCGGGUCUCUGGGCCGAUACUGACGCUGAGGAGCGAAAGCGUGGGGAGCGAACAGG
rnacentral:rRNA from 1 species